rnacentral:rRNA from 1 species
GUGAGGAAUAUUGCGCAAUGGGGGCAACCCUGACGCAGCGACGCCGCGUGGGUGACGAAGGCCUUCGGGUCGUAAAACCCUGUCGGGAGGAAAGAAAUGCGUUCAAGCUAAUAUCUUGGGCGUUUGACGGUACCUCCAAAGGAAGCACCGGCUAACUCUGUGCCAGCAGCCGCGGUAAUACAGAGGGUGCAAGCGUUGUUCGGAAUUACUGGGCGUAAAGGGCGUGCAGGCGGCUUGUCAAGUCAGAUGUGAAAGCCCACGGCUCAACUGUGGAAGCGCAUUUGAAACUGGCAGGCUUGAGUACCAGAGGGGAAAGUGGAAUUCCCGGUGUAGAGGUGAAAUUCGUAGAUAUCGGGAGGAAUACCGGUGGCGAAGGCGACUUUCUGGCUGGAUACUGACGCUGAGACGCGAAAGCGCGGGGAGCAAACAGG